CGACGGCCUUAUCCUUUCAUCAUCUCUCCCAACCGCUCAUCUCUCUCUCUCUCGGAUCCACAUGCUCCUCCGGCGAUGAGGUCCUAGCCGCUGCACCUCAUCCUCUUCCUCCCGCGGCAGUACAUACGGAGCUGCAGCUCCCACCGCUGCAAGGGGGCGGGGCCGGGAAGGAGCGGAGUUGGCGCUGUGAAGGUGCUGCUGCGGGCCGUCAAGCCAUGGUCGCCGCCUCCUCCUCCUUCCCUCGUGCUCGUGGCGCCAGAGCAGGGAGCCCUCAGCCAUCGCUGCAAAGACGCGGGGUGCAUGCUGUUGUGGCAGGAGUUGCAACCGGUGAUGAAAAUUGCUGCUACCGGCUAUGCGGAGAUGGCCGGCGGCAACUACUGGUGUUACAACCAGCAGCUGAUGGGGAGGGAGACGGCGACCUUUUGGUGAUGCAACCGGUGAGACUAUUUGCUGGAACCGGCUGUUGAAAAAGCUACAAACCACACUUUUCAUUGCUGGAACAGGACGACCGUCGAGUCAUCUUUUGCUGAAGCCGACAACGACGGCGAGCUAGAGGUGGUGAUGCCAGAAAUGCUGCAACCAGGGCGACCCGUGCUGGAACUGACCCACGGAGAGUUGCAAUCGUCUUCCUCAUCUUCCGGAGGGGCGACGGGAGACGGCGAGCGCGGACGGCCAAGGGUGAGCGCGGGUUGCCGGUGGCUACUGUAGCCGACGAUCGCUGAUGCAGAUAUUGCGUCGUUGGGCUGCUGGGAAAUCGAGACGGCAUAUGCUGUUUUUGAGGAACGGAGAUGCAGUGGAGAGGUGGGCCUUGUGAGGAAGACGUAUGAAGGAAGAAGGCACGAGCGAGUCGGGAUUAAAGCUGGAUCAGACGGCUGCAAAAAGUCACAUCGUACGGUGCAUGCAGGACCGGCCCAAAGCUAGCGCCGGUGGACCGACGCCUAGCACUGGCCUUAAAUUGUCAAGGAAAAUUUUACGAUGCAUUAUAAUACACCAGAGCACGUGUAUUAUAUGGGCGAUCUAAUGGAUGAGAAUAACUGGGCCUUUUUAGCUUAAGGGUAUUUUUGACCUAAAUUUUUUUGUACCUUUAAUCGGCCCAAUUAGGUCCAGGGUAUUCUCGUCCUAAAUUUUUUGAUUAAAUUAAUUGCAUUAAUAAAGCACUUCAUUAUAGA